UCCGUUUUCCUGGGUCAACUUAGCUUCCUUAGCGUGUUUUCUUUUUUUUUUUUUCUGUUGCUUGCGCGUGCAAAUGCCGACUCUUUUGAGAUGUCAGUUCCUGCAAACCGGCUCCGUUGCUCUGUGAAGUGUUGCCGGAUUAGUGAUCGCGACAAGGAGUCUUCCAGCAGCCAUGUCGCCCCGAAAGAUGACAAGCUGAAUGCUAUUUGGCUGGAGGCAAUCGGACGCUCGCGCAGCGACAAACAUGUCCAGGUAUGUUCGCGUCACUUCGCUCCGGAGGCCUUCGAGAUUCGCACCCCGCUCACCGAACGUCCACGACUGAGACGUGGGGCGGUCCCGACGCUAUUCCUACCGAGUGCAACAGCAGCAAGUGCAGCAUCAUCGGUAAGUCAAACUUCUAGGGAUAAUUGCUUACUACCUACGCUAAGGUUUCUGGUGGCGCAUUGUCUCGUUUUAGAACUGUUCUAUUUUAUCCGAAAAUUGUUGUAACGCUGGUAAGCGAGUUUCAGCUCAGAAGUUAAUAUUUUGCAUCCAGCAAUUACAAACAUCCUAAAUCACUGUGGCCAGUGAUUAGCACCUACGGGUACGGGCUACUUGCCUUCAGUGUUGUUUACCCACGCCACCAAGAAUUGAAUGAAGAAAUAUCAAAAAUUUAGAACGCAUUCUCUUCUGUGCAAUCCAACCAGCUGAUAACCGGACCAACAAGGCUGGGGCCAGCACCUGUGCCUAACCAUGACAGCCAAGUUGGAAGCCCCUCUGCACUGAUAACCGGACCAACAAGGCCAGCACCUGUGCCUAACCGUGACAGCCAAGUUGGAAGCCCCUCUGCACUGACAACCGGACCAACAAGGCAAGCACCUGUUCCUAACCAUGACAGCCAAGUUGGAAGCCCCUCUGCAGCUCACUGCUGCAGGUGCUCUGCUCCUCGUGCA